AUUGAACGCUGGCGGCAGGCCUAACACAUGCAAGUCGAACGAGUGGCGGACGGGUGAGUAAUGUCUGGGAAACUGCCUGAUGGAGGGGGAUAACUACUGGAAACGGUAGCUAAUACCGCAUACCAUCGGAUGUGCCCAGAUGGGAUUAGCUGGUAGGUGGGGGAAAGGCUCACCUAGGCGACGAUCCCUAGCUGGUCUGAGAGGAUGACCAGCCACAUUGGAACUGAGCCACGGUCCAGACUCCUACGGAGGGCAGCAGUGGGGAAUAUUGCACAAUGGGGGCAGGCCUGAUGCAGCAAUGCCGCGUGUAUGAGGAGGGCCUUCGGGUUGUAAGGUACUUUCAGCGGGGAGGCGUUACCCGCAGAAGAAGCACCGGCUAACUCCGUGCCAGCCGCCGCGGUAAUUC
rnacentral:rRNA from 1 species